AGGCAGCUGCUAGCUGGUCUGGUCUGGUCUGAUCUGAAGAGCUCACGAGCACAAAGCAAUACGCUGGCGCGUGCAACUACUACACGCCUACUCACGAGCAGAGGGCACAUCACUUGCCGGGGACGAAGUUGGUGGCGUACGCCCAUGCGUUGUUGGCGACGGGGUCGGCGACGUGGUCGAAGAGGUUCUCGAUGGGUCCCUUGCCGGUGACGAUGGCCUGCACGAAGAACCCGAACAUGGAGAACAUGGCGAGGCGGCCGUUCUUGAGCUCCUUCACCUUGAGCUCGGCGGCGGUGUCCGGGUCGUCGGCGAGGCCCAGCGGGUCGAAGGCGCCGCCGGGGUAGACCUUGUCGAGUCCCUCCCCGAGCGGGCCGCCGCCGACGCGGUAGCCCUCGACGAAGCCCAUGAGCACGACCUGGCAGGCCCAGAUGGCCAGGAUGCUCUGCGCGUGCACCAGGUUGGGGUUGCCCAGGUAGUCCAGCCCGCCCUCGGAGAAGAUCUGCGCGCCGGCCUUGAACCACACCGCCUCGCCGAACUUGACGCCGUUCUUGGCAAGGAUCUCCGGGAACACGCACCCCAGCGCGCCGAGCAUGGCCCACCGCGAGUGGAUCACCUCCAGCUCGCGGUUGCGCGCGAAGGUCUCCGGGUCGGCGGAGAGCCCCGCGGUGUCCCACCCGUAGUCGCCGGGGAACUCGCCGGUCAGGUACGACGGCGUCUGCUCCGAGAACGGGCCCAGGUACUUGGGGCGGUCAGGGCCGUACCU
rnacentral:lncRNA from 1 species